AUUGAACGCUGGCGGCAUGCCUUACACAUGCAAGUCGAACGGUAACGGGCCUUCGGGUGCCGACGAGUGGCGAACGGGUGAGUAAUGUAUCGGAACGUACCUUUCAGUGGGGGAUAACGUAGCGAAAGUUACGCUAAUACCGCAUAUUCUGUGAGCAGGAAAGCAGGGGAUCGCAAGACCUUGCGCUGAUUGAGCGGCCGAUAGCAGAUUAGCUAGCUGGUGAGGUAAAGGCUCACCAAGGCGACGAUCUGUAGCGGGUCUGAGAGGAUGAUCCGCCACACUGGAACUGAGACACGGUCCAGACUCCUACGGGAGGCAGCAGUGGGGAAUUUUGGACAGUGGGGGCAACCCUGAUCCAGCCAUGCCGCGUGAGUGAAGAAGGCCUUCGGGUUGUAAAGCUCUUUCGGCCGGGAAGAAAUCGUACCAGCUAAUACCUGGUGCGGAUGACGGUACCGGCAUAAGAAGCACCGGCUAACUACGUGCCAGCCGCCGCCGUAAGAC
rnacentral:rRNA from 1 species